rnacentral:rRNA from 1 species
UUAGGAAUAUUGGACAAUGGGCGAAAGCCUGAUCCAGCGACACCGCGUGGAGGAUGAAGGUCUUCGGAUCGUAAACUCCUUUUGACCCCUCAUGAAGGGGGGUAGAAUAAGCAGCUACUAACUACGUGCCAGCAGUCGCGGUAAUACGUAGGCUGCAAGCGUUACCCGGAAUUACUGGGCGUAAAGCGUCUGUAGGUGGUUUAUCAAGUCUUGUUUUAAAGACCCCGGCUCAACUGGGGAAAGGGGCAGGAUACUGAUAAGCUGGAAUUGUUGGGAGGUUACUGGAAUUUGUGGUGUAGGGGUAAAAUCCGUGGAUACUACAAAGAACACCAAUGGCGAAGGCAGGUAACCAACAACACAUUGACACUGAGAGACUAAAGCUAGGGUAGCAAAUCAGAUU